UGGUUUUGGAAGUUUGACUAUAAUUAUAGGACAUUGUGUUUAAUAAACUAAAUUACCAUUUAUUGCAUAAAGACCGUGUUUGCUGGGAUGACUACACUCCACGUCGAUCACUUGGGUACGCUGGACCCAACCGCAAAGAACUAUAAAUACAUACUGGCUUUAGUAGAUGGGUUUUUCAAGUAUACAUG